ACUCAAAUGAAUAGACGGGGGCCCGCACAAGCGGUGGAGCAUGUUGUUUAAUACGUCACUAACCGUAGAACCUUACCAGGGCUUGACAUCCGGCGCUAUUCCAUGAAAGUGGGAGUUCCCCGCAAGGGGACGUCGAGACAGGUGUUGCAUGGCUGUCGUCAGCUCGUGUCGUGAGAUGUUGGGUUAAGUCCCGCAACGAGCGCAACCCUCACCCCAUGUUGCCAGCGGAUCAAGCCGGGAACUCUUGGGGAACUGCCCGGGUAACCGGGAGGAAGGUGGGGAUGACGUCAAGUCAGCAUGGCCCUUACGCCCUGGGCUACAAACAUGCUACAAUGGACGGUAGACAAAGGGAUCCGAUGGCGUGAGCCGGAGGCAACCCCAAAAAUCCGUUCCCAGUUCAGAUCGCAGGCUGCAACUCGCCUGCGUGAAGUCGGAAUCGCUAGUAACCGCAGAUCAGCGAAGCUGCGGUGAAUACGUUCCCGGGCCUUGUACACACCGCCCGU
rnacentral:rRNA from 1 species